AUCUCAUCAAGAGAAACAGAGGGACUGGCCCGAAGAAGUUUCAGCAACCUUCAAAUUUAUUAUUUGAAAAGGUGCUAACUCCAGCACUAGCAUAUCAAUUGCCUAGUGAUAGAUGAGAG
rnacentral:ncRNA from 1 species